rnacentral:rRNA from 1 species
AUUGAACGCUGGCGGCAGGCCUAACACAUGCAAGUCGAACGAGGGGCGGACGGGUGAGUAAUGUCUGGGAAACUGCCUGAUGGAGGGGGAUAACUACUGGAAACGGUAGCUAAUACCGCAUACCAUCGGAUGUGCCCAGAUGGGAUUAGCUAGUAGGUGGGGUAACGGCUCACCAAGGCGACAAUCCCUAGCGGGUCUGAGAGGAUGACCAGCGCGACGGGAACUGAGACACGGGCCAUACGCCCAAGGGUGGCAGGAGGGGGGAAUAUUGCGCAAUGGGCGCAAGCCGGAUGCAGCCAAGCCGGGUGUAUGAAGAAGGCCCUCGGGGUGUAAAGGUCUUUUAGCUAGGAGGCGGUACUCGCAGAAGAAGCACCGGCUAACUACGUGCCAGCAGCCGCGGUAAUAC